GUAUUCGUAGAAACAAGAGGUGGUUAGCAUCUCGCUCGAUAGAGACCUGUUAUUAGACACAUCCAAUUAAGGCUACCCCACUUCGGUGAAUCUUACCCAAUUUUU
rnacentral:ncRNA from 1 species